rfam:Triticum aestivum genome assembly, contig: Triticum_aestivum_CS42_TGACv1_scaffold_392881_5AS
CAUGUACUCCCUCCGUUCCAAAUUACUCGUCGUAGAAAUGAAUGUAUCUAGAACUAAAAUACAUCUAGAUACAUCCAUUUCUGCGACGAGUAAUUCGGAACGGAGGGAGUACCAG